CGGUGGAUGAUGUGGAUAAUUCGAUGCAACGCGAGAACCUUACCUACCCUUGACAUGUCCGGAACUUGCCAGAGAUGGCUUGGUGCCCGAAAGGGAAUCGGAACACAGGUGCUGCAUGGCUGUCGUCAGCUCGUGUCGUGAGAUGUUGGGUUAAGUCCCGCAACGAGCGCAACCCUUAUCAUUAGUUGCUACGCAAGGGCACUCUAAUGAGACUGCCGGUGACAAACCGGAGGAAGGUGGGGAUGACGUCAAGUCCUCAUGGCCCUUAUGGGUAGGGCUUCACACGUCAUACAAUGGUCGGUACAGAGGGUUGCCAAGCCGCGAGGCGGAGCCAAUCCCACAAAGCCGAUCGUAGUCCGGAUUGUUCUCUGCAACUCGAGAGCAUGAAGUCGGAAUCGCUAGUAAUCGCAGGUCAGCAUACUGCGGUGAAUACGUUCCCGGGUCUU
rnacentral:rRNA from 1 species